rnacentral:rRNA from 1 species
CAGUAGCCGCGGUAAUACGAGGGGGGCAAGCGUUGUUCGGAAUUAUUGGGCGUAAAGGGUGCGUAGGCGGCUUGACAAGUCUUGUGUGAAAUCUAUGAGCUCAACCCAUAGUCUGCACGGGAAACUGUCGGGCUUGAGAAUGGGAGAGGUGAGUGGAAUUUCCGGUGUAGCGGUGAAAUGCGUAGAUAUCGGAAGGAACACCUGUGGCGAAAGCGGCUCACUGGACCAUUUCUGACGCUGAUGCACGAAAGCUAGGGGAGCAAACAGGAUUAGAUACCUCGGUAGUCCCUGUCUCUUAUAC